rnacentral:misc_RNA from 1 species
UUUAACGAUUUUUAUUUAGAUUCAGACAGACACAUUUAAAAGAAUUUGAGAAGGCUACUGGCGGGCACGGGCCAGGGAUGUAACACCCCCGGCGGCCCAGGGGCGGGCCCGCCAAAGCAACAUGGUUUGGUAAACAAAGGGUUGGAGGUCGGGCCUGGAAGACCCUUACUCGGUAAUGAUCCUUCCGCAGGUUCACCUACGGAAA